rnacentral:ncRNA from 2 species
AGGGUCGUGCUCGCCGACGGUUCACCCGGGUCGCCCCGGGUGAGGCAAGAGGGAACCCGGUGGGAAUCCGGGACUGCCCCGCAGCGGUGAGUGGGAACGACAGCCGUCAUGAAGCACUGGGCCUCGGCCCGGGAAGCGACGGCCGGUAGGACGCCGCACGCGAGAGCGUGCGGAGUGCCCACGAGUCCGAAGACCUGCCGUCGGUACGCGCACCGC